rnacentral:rRNA from 1 species
AUAGCGGCGGACGGGUGAGUAACGCGUAGGCAACCUACCCUUCACAGAGGGAUAGCCACUGGAAACGGUGAUUAAUACCUCAUAACGCAAGUCAAUCACAUGGUUGGUUUGCCAAAGAUUUAUCGGUGAGGGAUGGGCCUGCGUCUGAUUAGUUAGUUGGUGGGGUAACGGCCUACCAAGGCAACGAUCAGUAGCCGACCUGAGAGGGUAAUCGGCCACAUUGGAACUGAGACACGGUCCAAACUCCUACGGGAGGCAGCAG